rnacentral:lncRNA from 1 species
GAAUCUUUGAAUGUCAACACAAAAACAAUGCUCAGAUCUUGAAAGAGAUUAUUAGAGACUCAAGAUCCUGUAUGGAGCAUGAUCUCAAAACCGAGCACUUCAGCCGAAGAGAAAAAGAUAUUUUUAUCAAAUUUAAUUUUGCUAUUAGCUAAAGAUCUUGGGAAUGAUGCCAAAUAAUGUACCCACAGGUAGUUAUAGUCUACAGCAUGUGUAGUCAUAACUAUCACAUUCGUACUCUAUGAGUUACUUGGCUUUGUCUAUGACUUGUAUAGAUAAAGCUAUUUGUAGAAACUUUACACAUAAUCAAUUUACUUUUACUUACCAAAAAAAAAAAAAAACUUUAUUUACAAGAUCAUCUCCAAACUGUUAGCUGAUAGAUUACAAAAGGUAAUACACAAGAUAAUUAGUCCAAAUCAGACUGUUUUCAUCAAAGGGAGAAGUAUACAUCAUAAUAUUCUGCUUGCUAAUGACUUGGUCAAGGAUCUGCACUCAAAA